AAGACAUUAAAACUGUGAGAUGGAGGGAACAUUUGUAUCCAAUAAUUACCAUUUCCUUCAUUUUAUAUUAAUUCAGGAUGGUUUCCCUUUUGUUUCUUAAGCUUAAAUGGUGCUGUAUUUUUUUCUGAAACAGUUGGAAUAUGCUUCUAUUCAAGGUGAUUUGCAGCUGCUUGGGCAACCAGUUCUUUUUUUUCCUUGAACAAAUGCUGAAGGGCAUUAUUUGGGAGUGAGAAGUUUGAUGGGGUGGGUGACUUCCAAAUAUUUUUCUAUUCAAGAAUGUUGUAUAUUAUUGCAAUGUAUUUCCAGAAAAUGGUUAUUCAGGACUCCACUUUUCACAUAACGUUUCCUACAGGGUCACAAUCAUAUAGUAAAACAUAUGUACACAUAUAAUACACACAGUGUUCAUGAGGACAAUAGAAAAAACCCCCCUUGAUUGUAGGUCAUAUUUCAUCAUGGUAGUUGUUCACCAAAAAUAAGAUAUGUAAUUUAAGAUUUAGGCAGUCAACCGACAUGCCUGAUUAUAUAGUAUAGACCUCUCGCUGUGCCUCUGUGUGAGGUAAUUAGGAAAGGAUAUAAAGCAAAAAGGCACAAUCCUUGCUCUUGAGCAGGAUACAAUCCAAUGUGUCAGAAAGAGAAAUAAACACAGUCAUAACACUGUGAAUUGAUUGCUGUAGUGGAGGCACACAGGAGUAUAACUGGCAUUCCAGGAUGCAAGUGGAUAACUAAACCUUGAAGAAUAUGUAAGGAUUCUUUUAUCCAACAAGGAGCAGAGGGAUAUUAGAUAAAGCUACCAAUACAUGCAAAGUCCUAUAUGUCAGGAGAGUGCGGAGAAAAAGAGAAUGAGCUGGGUGGUCAGGCGAAGAGAAGUAAAUUUAUUAAAGGGAAACGAGGGGGAGACCGACCCUUGAGAAGAGGGUCCCCCUGCCCUUCUGGUGGGUGCAGACGGAAAAUUGGAUCCCCUGAAGGCAGAUUAGUUUAUCUUGAGCCUGCAGCUGAACUCUGGUGGUCACAGUCUUGAGAAAGCUGGAGGUGUCCCAUGGAAAAGUGGUCUCGUCGUCUUGGGAAAGUCGGCACCAGUGGCGAAAACAGGAUGUCGCUUGAGCAAGGUGGUCCAUCUCCUGGGUCACUGUGACUUCAUAUUUUGUUUGCGAGGUGAGCCAUUUUAACAAUCAGCCCCCAUAUAGGCCCUAACACUAUAGAGAAAAAUGAGCAUGCAGCGCUUAUUAAAGAAUAGGAAAGAAAAUUAUGGCUGUUUUUUUAAAACAAGAAAACCUAUAGUUAGAAUUGAACAAUGAUAAAAACAAGGUGUCAGUUCAGACCACAGAGAUAAGUAUUUGCAUGGUUAAGUAAGGAAUUAUCUAAACUAGAACCAGAGUAAAAACCCUGUGACAGAGGUAGCUUAAGUCAUAAGAUAUUGUGGCAUAAGGUCAAGUAGUCUUCCUUUGCUGGGCUCUUCCCUGGAAUCAACCAAGUAAAAUGUUAUCAUUCUGAAUAAACACCCACAUGUGUACAAAAAUUUGCAUUCCUAAUUGUGUAAUAUAUAAGAGGAGGCUUCCAGAUUGUAUAAGCUUUGGGCCCCCAAAUUCUGGACUCUCCUUGCCUAGAAGAUAAUCCAUGAAAGGAUUAGAAAAGUAAUACCAGAAGUCAGGAUAGCAAAGUAACUGACUUAAUUUUGGAAACUAAGUAAUUCAAUUGUAAAGAGUUAUUGCUAUUAUCUACAUAUGAUGGACAAAACAGUUAUGUUUUCGUUUUCACUUCCAAACAUAUAAAUGUUUUUUCCUCACCAGUGGGGGUUUAUAUGCUGCUCUCAACUACCCAUCCCAGCCCAACUUGGGGAGAAGUCUCCACUGAUCACAAGAACACCUGUUCUCUAAUUCCUCAGAGAUGUGGUAUGCACAGGUUAAAGUGACUUAAUGAAGACGAGCUGAAAUGUGGUCCAUGACAAAAUUACAAAGAACAUAUAGGAAGGAAGCAAGGUCAAUUAAUAAAGUUUCUAUCCUAUUAUUUAAAAACUGCUUAAAGAGAGAUUAUUUU
rnacentral:lncRNA from 1 species